AUUGAACGCUGGCGGCAUGCCUUACACAUGCAAGUCGAACGGUAACAGGUCUUCGGAUGCUGACGAGUGGCGAACGGGUGAGUAAUACAUCGGAACGUGCCCGAGAGUGGGGGAUAACGAAGCGAAAGCUUUGCUAAUACCGCAUACGAUCUCAGGAUGAAAGCAGGGGACCGCAAGGCCCUGCGCUCACGGAGCGGCCGAUGGCAGACUAGGUAGUUGGUGGGAUAAAAGCUUACCAAGCCGACGAUCUGUAGCUGGUCUGAGAGGCCGACCGGCCACACUGGGACUGAGACACGGCCCAGACUCAUACGGGAGGCAGCAGUGGGGAAUUUUGGACAAUGGGCGCAAGCCUGAUCCAGCCAUGCCGCGUGCAGGAUGAAGGCCUUCGGGUUGUAAACUGCUUUUGUACGGAACGAAAAGACUCCUUCUAAUAAAGGGGGUCCAUGACGGUACCGUAAGAAUAAGCACCGGCUAACUUCGUGCCAGCCGCCGCGGUAACAC
rnacentral:rRNA from 1 species